GACCCGUCUUGAAACACGGACCAGAGUCUGAGUGCGCAUCAAGGCGUAGAACCCAUGCGAAUGAAGUAAGCUGUAAGUUGAGAGAGUCGGUACAGCGGUUGUCUGGCGCAUCUCGGCUUCUCUGAUUGCUACAUGGAGCAGGCAAGAGGUACAUGCUGGACCCGAAGAUGGUGAACUAUGCUUGCGCAGGUCGAAGCCAGAGGAAACUCUGGUGGAAGACCGUAGCGAUUCUGACGUGCAAAUCGAUCGUCAGACGUGAGUAUAGGGGCGAAAGACUAAUCGAACCAUCUAGUAGCUGGUUCCAUCCGAAGUUUCCCUCAGGAUAGCUAGCACUCGGAAACAAACAGUUUUAUCCGGUAAAGCGAAUGAUUAGAAGUAUUGGGGUCGAAACGAUCUCAACUUAUUCUCAAACUUUAAAUGGGUGAGAAGCUUGGCUCUCUUAAUUGGAGUCGAGCAUUGAAUGUGAGUGCUCAGUGGGCCAUUUUUGGUAAGCAGAACUGGCGCUGUGGGAUGAACCAAACGUUCGGUUAAGGUGCCUAAUACGGACGCUCAUCAGACACCACAAAAGGUGUUGGUUGAUAUAGACNGCAGGACGGUGGCCAUGGAAGUCGGAAUCCGCUAAGAGUGUGU
rnacentral:rRNA from 1 species